UCCGAUAUGGUGUAGUGGCCAACAUGAUGCCCUCUCAUCUCUUGAGAGGUUAGGCAUAGCCCCGAGUUCGAUUCUCGGUUUCGGAA
rfam:Glomerella graminicola M1.001 genomic scaffold supercont1.16, whole genome shotgun sequence.